ACGAGUGGCGGACGGGUGAGUAAUGUCUGGGAAACUGCCUGAUGGAGGGGGAUAACUACUGGAAACGGUAGCUAAUACCGCAUAACGUCGCAAGACCAAAGAGGGGGACCUUCGGGCCUCUUGCCAUCGGAUGUGCCCAGAUGGGAUUAGCUAGUAGGUGGGGUAACGGCUCACCUAGGCGACGAUCCCUAGCUGGUCUGAGAGGAUGACCAGCCACACUGGAACUGAGACACGGUCCAGACUCCUACGGGAGGCAGAUG
rnacentral:rRNA from 1 species